UAUUGUGUUACGAUCUAAUGGUAUUGACUGUAAAUACUUAUAAUAUCAAAACAAUAAAGACCUUCCCAAGUAUGUCUUCUGUAUGACGAACAUACAGAUAAGUGCAGUUUGACAUAUUUAAUGUAGUGAUCCAAAAGUAUAUUGUAUAUAACAAUGAUUUCACUCUAGUCAAGAAAGAACAUUAGUGUUAAUGGUACGUCUUGUUCAUAGACGCAAGAAGAAAUUCUUAAAUGUAUAUUUGUUAAAAUGAUGCUCCGUGUGCAAUAAGUAAUAAAGAUGGAUCUUUCUCCAAGAAGAAGAAUUGAAUUAACAGAAAAACAGAAACAAAGAGAACUAGAGAUUAUCGAUUGAAAAUUGUGAAAAUCAGUUGCCUGCGGCCAUGCUGGAGCACCGCCUUUAGUCGAGCAAAUCGACCCCAGGACUUAUUCUUUGGAAGCCUAGUACUUAUUCUAUCGGUCUCUUUUGCCGAACCGCUAUGUUACGGGGACGUAAACACACCAGCAUCGGUUGUCAAUCGAUGUUGGGGGGACAAACACAAACACACAAAUGUUUACAUUUCUUGAUUCUUUUUUUUUUGUACCUAGAACAAUAAAUCUCCACGAUUCAUCAGCA